rnacentral:rRNA from 1 species
UCGAGUGGCGGAACGGGUGAGUAACACGUGGGUGNUCUGCCCUGCACUUCGGGAUAAGCCCUGGGAAACCGGGUCUAAUACCGGAUAGGACCGCACGUCUCAUGGGGUGUGGUGGAAAGCUUUUGCGGUGUGGGAUGGGCCCGCGGCCUAUCAGCUUGUUGGUGGGGUAAUGGCCUACCAAGGCGUCGACGGGUAGCCGGCCUGAGAGGGUGUCCGGCCACACUGGGACUGAGAUACGGCCCAGACUCCUACGGGAGGCAGCAGUGGGGAAUAUUGCACAAUGGGCGCAAGCCUGAUGCAGCGACGCCGCGUGGGGGAUGACGGCCUUCGGGUUGUAAACCUCUUUCAGCACAGACGAAGCGCAAGUGACGGUAUGUGCAGAAGAAGCACCGGCCAACUACGUGCCAGCAGCCGCGGUAAUACGUAGGGUGCGAGCGUUGUCCGGAAUUACUGGGCGUAAAGAGCUUGUAGGUGGUUUGUCGCGUUGUUCGUGAAAUCUCACGGCUUAACUGUGAGCGUGCGGGCGAUACGGGCAGACUAGAGUACUGCAGGGGAGACUGGAAUUCCUGGUGUAGCGGUGGAAUGCGCAGAUAUCAGGAGGAACACCGGUGGCGAAGGCGGGUCUCUGGGCAGUAACUGACGCUGAGAAGCGAAAGCGUGGGGAGCGAACAGGAUUAGAUACCCUGGUAGUCCACGCCGUAAACNGNNGGUANUAGGUGUGGGUUUCCUUCCUUGGGAUCCGUGCCGUAGCUAACGCAUUAAGUACCC